rfam:Triticum aestivum genome assembly, contig: Triticum_aestivum_CS42_TGACv1_scaffold_195259_3AL
GGUUUCAUGGUGUAGUUGGUUAUCACGUCCUUCUAACAGACUGAAGUUCUCCGGUUCAAACCCGGGCGAAGCCA